rnacentral:rRNA from 1 species
UACGUAGGGUGCAAGCGUUGUCCGGAAUUAUUGGGCGUAAAGAGCUCGUAGGCGGUUUGUCGCGUCUGCUGUGAAAACUCGGGGCUUAACCCCGGGCCUGCAGUGGGUACGGGCAGACUAGAGUGCGGUAGGGGAGACUGGAAUUCCUGGUGUAGCGGUGAAAUGCGCAGAUAUCAGGAGGAACACCGGUGGCGAAGGCGGGUCUCUGGGCUGACACUGACGCUCAUGCACGAAAGCGUGGGGAGUAAACAGG